AGAAGUAGAAGCCCGGAGCAGAGAGCAAAGUGGGACAAAAGGAAAAAGCGCUGGUGAACCAGGGUGGAAUUGACUGGAAUUGGGCAUCCAAGCAGCCACCACCUCCUCAGCCCCCUCAAUCACAACCACACCAGAGUGAAGUGGCAUGUUCCUAGGUCUACACUGCAAGCCCCCUCCAGGACAGGGCCUGGGACCUCUCGUUCAUCUGCAUCCUGACCAGCGGGCAGUUUCUGGCCUAGAUCUAGAAUAGACGUACUGGAUACAUUUGCUGAAUGAAUUUCCAAGACUCAAUAAAACUCAUGGAACUUUC
rnacentral:lncRNA from 1 species